UACCUCAAAAUUCCGCAACAGUCUGUUUCAUCAUCUGAUGAUUCUUUACUGAUGAAACAGACUGUUGCGGAAUUU